GUUCCCGCGGAAGGAGAAUUGCUGGCAAAAAUCAGCCGACGCACGUAGGCUCUCUCAAACCCCGGCUGCACACGGACGGGCUUUCACCAGCCCACGGGGUCGCAGGGUGCAAAACGCUGACCCCUCGCCCUGACGGAACCGCUGCUGCUUGCAGCACGCAGACGAGUGUCGCAACUCCUCCACGUCCUGGCCACCGAGAUGGCCCUGCCGAUUGCCGAGCGGGUGACAGGAUGUGGUUUCUGCGUGCGCGGCGGCCGCGCCAUCGCUGAUGUUUACGAGAUCAGGAGAAGUGUUGUCUGUGUUCCCUUCUGCCUGCUCACAGCGGUGGGGAGGUGAUGCUGCUAAGAGUACUUCAUACACAGGUAAAAUGAGAGUUUAUGUGGGUUUUGACACUAGCAAAACAUUCCAGUGUGGAUAGGCAUCAGUUCAUGUAUUUGUAGGUACUUGGGGGAAAAGUGGCCACUUUUGGAACAACUGCUCAUUCACACAAUGGUUGCCCUUGGGGAAGAUGUUGCAGCCGUGUGACACACACGAUGCUGUGAUGUUGCUGUGCCUGACACAGUGGGGUUUGGGGGCAGAGAUAAGGAGCCCAGCCCACUGUCAGAUGUGCCUAGCUAGAGGGAGCAGCACUGCAAAAUCACCAAGCACAGAAAUGAGCUGAGUUUAGCAUGCCAGCAUCCUCUCACACAGCUCUCAGGAUGCACGAGAGCUGUGCGGAAUCGCAGUCCUGACAAAGCCUGACUUCUCCGAUUCAGAGGAAAUGAAAAGGACUUUGUGACUCUGUUGUGACCGCUGAUAGAGGGUUGGUGUGCCCAGGGGACAGCCAGCCAAGGGAGAGGGAGGAGCGCUGGAAAAUUUGGCUUCACUGAACAGUUCCUUAAAUUCAAUGAGUCAUGAUUUUCUUUCAGUGCACGCGGCACUCUUUGUAUAAACUCCAGCCCAGAGAGAAAAAUAUCCUCUGGUCAUUGGUGAGAGCGGGUAAUGGUUUGGUUUCCUAACUAUUAAUUCCUCCUAAAAGAUAUCGUCUGCAUUUCUUUGGAAGAUGCCCUCCCACAGGCCCUCUCUCACAUAGCCACACCAAAAAUAGUGCUGAGUGCUUCCUGAUGGCAGUGCUGUGUUUCUCUGGAAGGUAGGUGAAGUUGACGGAGUACAAUGCACUUAAAUUUGCCUGAUAAUGUUGUUAAUUAUCAAUAGAUUCCAAACAGAGUGAUUUCACAGAAAGACAAGGUGGAGACCUAUUUUUCAUUCUUUAUAUGAGAAAAAUGUGCAUGUGGUUUGCAUAACUAAAAUGCACUUUCUCCCUAUCCAUUGCAAGUUGAGGUGGAAGCUCCGCCAUCAUCCAGCUGCUCACUCAGCAUGCACAUUUCUGUAGAUCCAGAUCGUGGUAACUGUCUCAGUGCUGCCCAAAUGCAACUGCUGAGAACGUGCAUUCAGUCCAGGUUAAUAAUCAGUGGAAAAGGCCAUGUAAGAUGAGCUGCCAUCCUGCUUCUCUGCGGCUUUGCAGUGGGAUGGGCUGUGGGGCUGUUUGUGAAGGGCAGCAGCCAACUCUUAUCUCUGUGCAGAUAAAGCAGAUAAAGCGAAGCAUGCUUCCUUGUAAGCAAAUUCACUUGAUCUCUGCAGCACAUUUAGUCCUUCACUUUCCUGUAAAGGUGGCAAGUAAGUCCUGGCAACAACAUUUUCUCCGAGAAAGCCCCCAAGCCCUUCCUGACCCAAGAGACUUCCCACAAAAUAAACAAAGGUAUCUCUCCACUUGCCUUUUCUUAUCUUGCUUUUUCAGCCCUGUUCUUCAGAGAUGCAUGUCUCACUGUCUCUUCUCAGUGUCCAAAGCAGUUCUUUUCUCCACUUAAAAAAUGUCAGUUUGGAAAUGGGAGUAUGUCCCAUUUUUUGUAUCAUCUGGCUUUUUCUGAAGGACUCCUCUUGUCUCUUCUCCAAGAACAAGACGAAGUGGCUCAGGAUGGAGGAGUGCUCCCAUACCUGUGGGAGAGCUGGAGGGUGCCUGCUCUGGAUGCCACUGAUGACAAUGGGGAACUGAAACUACAGCCCUGGAGAGGAAACGAGAUCAUUUCUGCUGCUCCCUUCACACUCUUGACUUUGCUUUGUGUGACUGCUUUCUAGUUGAAUAAAAAAAAUCUCCUGGCCCUUUGAGAUUAGGAAAAUCAUCCAGUGACAAAAGGAAGUUCUGAGGGGCUUAAGAUGUGUCCUUCCCCUGGGAAAGAGAAAGGAUGCCCCCGUAGUACCUGAUGUAACUGGGACUUGCAAAGCUCUCUCUGCUAGUUUAUAAACAUAUACUCAUUAAAGCAUUUUAAUUAGGAUGUUUUGAGAACUGUGUGUUCGUCUGUGCAUGCCCUUUGUGAAAUAUUAAACACUCUUGCCCAUUCAGUGCUGUUCUCCCCAGAUUUUUCUGCUCAUGGGGUUUGACAUCCCUGACUAUUCUGGAGUUAAAUAAUCUUCUACAAAAAUAUCAUAAUGAGAUCUUUGAUGUUGCAGUCAAAG